GAUAAAGAGAGAGGUACAGCUUCAGACUGUGAGAGUGCUAGAACGAUCUAGAGAUAGAGAGGGAGAUAAACUGAGACUGCAAUCUGAUCCGUCAUCGCUGCAGGCAGAAAAAGAAAGGCGAAGACGAUUGUUCAUCUUCCCGUGAUUCGAGACAUCUGGCAUGGUCUCUAUCAAAGUUUAAACAUGCACUGACAUUCAAAGGAGGAGACAACGAAUCAAUUUGUGUGUUGUCUUGGAAAAGGGUUGCAGUUCAUAGUGGCUCUAAUUGGUGUGAUUCAGCUGUGAGUUUUUGGCUUUUUUCUAUGGAUGACAGGUAAAUCUUCAAAAUUUGUCAUCUCAUUUACAACAAUGAGAUAUUUUUUUUUUUUUAAUUCUAAAAAUCCCAUUGAUCUUCAAAAAAUGCAGUUGGGUCUUUAAUAAGUUAAUCCUAUAUUAGUAGGUUUAUAUUUUGUUCAAUUUUGCUCUUAAAUUAACUGAAUCUUCCCUUUUUCUCCAUUUUCAUUCUUUCAUUCAUAUUUUGCCCUAUGUACUAUUUGGGUAUACUAAGC